UACGUAGGGUGCGAGCGUUGUCCGGAAUUAUUGGGCGUAAAGCGCACGUAGGCGGCUUUGUAAGUUAGAGGUGAAAGCCCGGAGCUCAACUCCGGAAUUGCCUUUAAGACUGCAUCGCUAGAAUCAUGGAGAGGUUAGUGGAAUUCCGAGUGUAGAGGUGAAAUUCGUAGAUAUUCGGAAGAACACCAGUGGCGAAGGCGACUAACUGGACAUGUAUUGACGCUGAGGUGCGAAAGCGUGGGAAGCAAACAGG
rnacentral:rRNA from 1 species